CUGGCGGCGUGCCUAACACAUGCAAGUCGAACGGGAAAACAGGGGCAACUCUGUGAGUACAGUGGCGUACGGGUGAGUAACACGUGACUACCUACCCUCGAGUGGGGGAUAACCCCGGGAAACCGGGGCUAAUACCGCAUAACAUCGCAAGAUCAAAGGAGCAAUUCGCUUGAGGAGGGGGUCGCGGCUGAUUAGCUAGUUGGUGGGGUAACGGCCCACCAAGGCGAUGAUCGGUAGCCGGCCUGAGAGGGCGCACGGCCACACUGGAACUGAAACACGGUCCAGACUCCUACGGGAGGCAGCAGUGGGGAAUUUUGCGCAAUGGGGGAAACCCUGACGCAGCAACGCCGCGUGGAGGAUGAAGUCCCUUGGGACGUAAACUCCUUUCGACCCGGACGAUAAUGACGGUACGGGUGGAAGAAGCACCGGCUAACUUCGUGCCAGCAGCCGCGGUAAUACGAGGGGUGCGAGCGUUGUUCGGAAUUAUUGGGCGUAAAGGGCGCGUANGCGGUGCGGUAAGUCACCUGUGAAAUCUCCCGGCUCAAC
rnacentral:rRNA from 1 species